rnacentral:rRNA from 1 species
GACAUGUAUUGGAUGAUGGGAAUUUAAACCUCUUCCAGAGUAUCAAUUGGAGGGCAAGUCUGGUGCCAGCAGCCGCGGUAAUUCCAGCUCCAAUAGCGUAUAUAAAAAUUGUUGCAGUUAAAAAGCUCGUAGUUGAAUUUCUGCUGCAUUGCUUUUGCUCCUUUACAAGUCUUUGCAUUGUGGCUUAUUUCGGACUUUGUUUUACAAUGUCCGGAUGUUUACUUUGAGAAAAUUAGAGUGCUCAAAGCAGGCUUUCGCCUUGAAUAGUUUAGCAUGGAAUAAUAAAGUAGGACUUUGGUUCUAUUUUGUUGGUUUUAGGUACCAAAGUAAUGGUUAAUAGGAACAGUUGGGGGCAUUCGUAUUUAACUGUCAUAGGUGAAGUCCUAAGA